GAUGAACGCUGGCGGCGUGCCUAAUACAUGCAAGUCGAGCGAACAGACGAGGAGCUUACUCCCCUGACGUUAGCGGCGGACGGGUGAGUAACACGUGGAUAACCUACCUAUAAGACUGGGAUAACUUCGGGAAACCGGAGCUAAUACCGGAUAACAUGUUCAACCGCAUGGUUCAACAGUGAAAGACGGUCUUGCUGUCACUUAUAGAUGGAUCCGCGUCGCAUUAGCUAGUUGGUAAGGUAACGGCUUACCAAGGCAACGAUGCGUAGCCGACCUGAGAGGGUGAUCGGCCACACUGGAACUGAGACACGGUCCAGACUCCUACGGGAGGCAGCAGUAGGGAAUCUUCCGCAAUGGGCGAAAGCCUGACGGAGCAACGCCGCGUGAGUGAAGAAGGUCUUCGGAUCGUAAAACUCUGUUAUUAGGGAAGAACAAAUGUGUAAGUAACUAUGCACGUCUUGACGGUACCUAAUCAGAAAGCCACGGCUAACUACGUG
rnacentral:rRNA from 1 species